rnacentral:rRNA from 1 species
UACGUAGGGUGCAAGCGUUGUCCGGAAUUAUUGGGCGUAAAGGGCGCGUAGGCGGUGCGGUAAGUCACCUGUGAAAUCUCCCUGGCUCAACUGGGAGCUUGCAGGGCGAAACUGCCCGUGCUGGAGUGUGGGAGAGGUGCGUGGAAUUCCUGGUGUAGCGGUGAAAUGCGUAGAUAUCAGGAGGAACACCUGUGGCGAAAGCGGCGCACUGGACCACAACUGACGCUGAGGCGCGAAAGCGUGGGGAGCAAACAGG